UGUUUGAUGUUCUAACGUUGACCCGUAAUCCGGGUUGCGGACAGUGUCUGGUGGGUAGUUUGACUGGGGCGGUCUCCUCCUAAAGAGUAACGGAGGAGCACGAAGGUUGGCUAAUCCUGGUCGGACAUCAGGAGGUUAGUGCAAUGGCAUAAGCCAGCUUGACUGCGAGCGUGACGGCGCGAGCAGGUGCGAAAGCAGGUCAUAGUGAUCCGGUGGUUCUGAAUGGAAGGGCCAUCGCUCAACGGAUAAAAGGUACUCCGGGGAUAACAGGCUGAUACCGCCCAAGAGUUCAUAUCGACGGCGGUGUUUGGCACCUCGAUGUCGGCUCAUCACAUCCUGGGGCUGAAGUAGGUCCCAAGGGUAUGGCUGUUCGCCAUUUAAAGUGGUACGCGAGCUGGGUUUAGAACGUCGUGAGACAGUUCGGUCCCUAUCUGCCGUGGGCGCUGGAGAACUGAGGGGGGCUGCUCCUAGUACGAGAGGACCGGAGUGGACGCAUCACUGGUGUUCGGGUUGUCAUGCCAAUGGCACUGCCCGGUAGCUAAAUGCGGAAGAGAUAAGUGCUGAAA
rnacentral:rRNA from 1 species